UUUUUGAUAGUUAUUUUAUUUAUUUAACAUGUGGAAUAUUAGUGAGGAUUUACCGAGGGAUCAGCUAUGGAUCUCGCAAGUAUUUAUCGAUGCACCACUAUCCCUCGCUAAUCAGUCGAAAAAUGAAGGGCCUUAGCUAGGGUUCAACGACGGAUAAAAAAUUGUGCCAUCUGGUACGCGUUUAGCGAGAGAACAUCGACGGAAACUAUAUUGUGGGUACGCGCGUUUUAUUUUUUCACGAAAUGCAUUGAAAUUUCUGGUACGCGUUUCCUUCCCUCCAGCAUACUUUGAAGUUCACGAAAUGUGUUUUGUUUUUUCUAUCACUCUAGACUCUGGACAUGAAUUUUGAACAGAUGACGGCAUAGAAGUUCCCUUCAAUCUGUUAACCCACUUCCAUCUCACAAUCUCUGUUUGAACAGAUGACGAUGACGGCACUACUCACCCGAUUCCGGCAACCUCCACAUUUUUAAGCUGAAAGUAUUCUUCGUUAACUUUCGGAUUCAGGUAAAUCUCAUCCCUAUUAGGUUAGUUUUAGUUCAAUUGCACAAUAUACUUUGUUAGGGUUUAAUUUCUCAUUUUUUCUUUUUCAAUCGAUAUCCCUCUUAUCUCUCAGCAUUAUAUACAUGAAUAACCCUGAAAGUUAGAAUUAGAACUUGAUUUAGGGCUUGAUUCAUCAUAGUUUGUCAUCCAAUUUAUGAGAAUUUAAGGAUUCAAGAACACCAGUAGCCAAAACCUUUAGGUUUUUCCCAAUUCUCUUUCAUAUUUAGGAGGUGGUCUCUCUGAUAAGUCCUAUUCCCUUUUGAGGUCUUGAAGUUGAUGUGGUCUCUCUGAUAAGUCCUAUUCCCUUUUGAGGUCUUGAAGUUGAUGUGGUCUUGAAUCAUGAUGCUGACUUCUACUGCCAGUUGCUGCUUCACUUGGAGCCAUGUUAAGGCCAGUGGUACUUGUCACAGGAGCAACAGCAGCAUAUACAGAUUUUGAAGCCAACACUCUCAUCUUCAUGCAUCUAUCUCUCAUCAAACCAUGUUUCAUCUUAUGCCCUUGCAUCCACACAUUUUCACAGAUCCAAUCUCCAAUUCAGGGCUUCCACCUUCUUUCUGUAAGUAUACAAUUAAAAUUUAAAACCACAUUAUUACAUUAAAAAGAGAAUAAGUUGAUUAAAAAAAACAAAUACAGACCAGAAUUCCAGUAAGGGCGGUGACUUUUUGCAUAACAAGUGAGAGUUUUUUCAGUUGAAAGUCAAAGUGGAUUGUUCUUUGCACUAUGCUUGCUUUAAUGUCAUCGUAUAUUCUUUCAACCCUGUGGGAGAUGAAUAUGUUAAAAAAAUUAUAAUAAUAAUAGUGAAAUGACAUAAUUGACCCUGAUUAAACACAUACCAUUCGUUCCCUUCUUUGUCGAAAAUUGAAGUCAAAAUUAGCUUGAUGGUGUAAAAACAUUCCUCAACUGCAUCUUGCAUAUAAUCAUCUCUUGAAAUUCUAUCCCAUAGUUCGUCUUGUGUGUCACUCUCUCCAGCUAUAUCUUUUGCGAGGAAUAACUAAACAUAAAAAAGAAAAAAAAUAAAUAAAUAUUUAUAAAGAAAAUGUAAAAAUUCAAAAUUGAAGGAUUUUUAGUAACCUUGCUGGCUAGUAGAAAAAGAGGCCAUUGCACCAUGGGAACAGUUCCAGUAUUUUUAGGCAUUUGAAGCAAUUCCAUUUCCCUGAAAAGAAAGACACGUCAAAAGUGAAAACCUGAGGGCAAAAAUGUAAUAUUUUACCUAAACAAGUCAUGUUAAUAGAAGUUAAAAACUCACAGAUUAGUAAUGUAAUCUUCUUCUCUUAGAUUCUUGACAAUCUCAUUCCAGAAAGGUGAAAAUCUAGCAGCAUCAAACUUAUCUUUUACAAGAAUCUGACCAGUUACCUUAAGGGAACUCCUGAAAAAUAUAAUUAAACAUUAAUAUAGGACAGAAAAUGGAAUUCAACAAAUUAUGUUACAGAAAGAGAUGAAGAACACCUGCUUGAAAGAGGAAUGUGAAGAUUAUCCAUGAAUUCUGCAGGGAACCUCUCAAUGUUUUUGUGGACAGAACAUAUAUCUGCCUUAGCCUAAGGUAACAUUACAUUGGAUGAGAAUGAGAUUACCAAAUACCAAAAGCUUACCCUGGGCUCAAGAGAUAUAAUAUAUAUUCAAUCCUAAAGGAUUGGCAUAAAAGUAAUCUUCUUCUUUGGGUUUAUCUGAAAUAACCAAUCUUUUUGUGGGAUUUCCCAUUCUUUCUUGAUAGAGCUUUUUGUUAACAAUUCUUUCUUUGUUCAUUUCCUUUCCAUAUAGAUUUUGAAAUCAAGGUAUUGGUUUCAUUUACGAUAGGAGCACUUAGCUUUAUUUGUUGAUAUGGGCGUGGGGCAGCUGAUACACUUAUAAUCCCUAUAACUAUCCCAUUUUCAUCACGUAAAGGUUUAGUGGAACCGAUGAUAACAAACCUUUCUCCUCUCUUAUUUCUAAUAGGAAACUCCCCUGUCCAACAUUCACCCUUUAACAUUUGUUGUAGGAUAUCAUUAGCUAUAUGGAGAUCCUUUGGUUCUACUACAAGAUCCAUAAAACCUUUUCCACGAAUUUCCUCAGCACUACAAGUCAUGUGUUGGGUUAUUACAAGUCAUGGAAUCACAUAAUUGGUGGAGAUCUCUCUCCUUUUCAAACAACAACAGGACAAUACAUCCUAGACUUUUUUGGGUAUGGCAUUUACAUGUAUCCCUUUCAUCGUAAAUUCGUUCCAGACGGCCCCGAUAUUCAAGGUAGAUGUGAUUUUUGUUAAAUAUAUUUUUAUUGUCAUGUCUUAUGUAUAAUGACCUACCUCACCCAUCACCCACUUUCUUUAAGUAGAUGGACAAUGACCCACUUAUUUUAACAGAUGGAUCAUAACUUCAAUCUUUUAAACAAAUGGAUCAUAUAUAUUAUUGAUUUUAUUGACCCAUAAGAGAAGAUUUUGUUUUUAUAUAAUGUAAAAGAUAAAAGUUGUACUUUUAAUUUAUAAAAUGAAUAGACCCAAACAUUGAUUCAGAAACGGGGACAGUUUUGGUCCCAGGGAUAUUUUGGGAAAACUUUCCUAAUUUAAAGUUUUGAGUUAGUUUAGGAUUCCAAUUAGUUUAGUAUAAAUAUGGUAUGGUUUUGUGAUGUUUUUAAUUAAGUUUUUCUCUGUCUUUUCAGUAAUAAAACUUGGAGAACAAGUAAUUUUCCCAGAUUUCUUUCCUCCCCUGUUUCGCUCAUGCUCUGUUUCUUUUCUGUACACAGUUGAAGUUUCCAUUUUGUCAUAAUCAAGUGAAUCAAGUGAAUUAAUUCCUACACCACUUUCUUUAAAUAGAUGGAUAAUGACCCAUUUAUUUUAAUACAUACAUCAUAACUUAAAUCUUCUAAACAACUGGAUCAUAUAUACUAUUGAUUUUAUUGACCCAUAAGAUAAGAUUUUGUUGUUUCAUAAAACUAUAAAAGAUAAAAGUUGUACUUUUAAUUUAUAAAACGAAUAGACCCAAGCAUUGAUUCGUGUAGUCUACAGCAGGAUGCCCAUCAAAUUAGUUGGGAUCAGGUCCAAUCCUUAUCACCCUUGUUUAGCUGCAAUUAAGAGAGUUUUAUUUUUCUUUUCUGUCUUAAUAGAAUUAUGUUAUGGGUGAAGCACCAUCUUUAGGGCAGGGAGGACAGCCGUUUUGGUAUGGUAUGGUGUGCUGGCAUCCUGAGGAGUAUUUAAGAUUUUCAUUUUGUAGAAGAUUGUUAGCUAAGAAAAUAGUAUAAGCAAAAGCUAUUGGAGAGGCCCUUCCUCUUGAAAGAAUGGGAAAAUCCUAUUAUAUAUAUCAUUCAUUCUCUGUUAGUUGUUUCUGGUUGUGAAUUUCCUGCUUAUUCUCUUUAAUCUAUGUGAGAGCUUAUCAGUACAGUCAAUUGAUCAAGGCUUUUGGCAUUGUUGGAUCACAUAAAUAUACCUGGACCCAAUGCAUAUGAGUACUACUUUGUUCAAGUGGAUUGUUUGUGGAUAAUGAUUAACGUAUCACUUUAUAUCUGUUUUCAGAACCAAAGGAAAAGUAUUGGUUCAGAGCUUUAUCCCCAAGGAAGCCUGACAUAAGUGGUCGUGCACAUAAGGUAUACUUUUUGACACCCAAACCUUUUCUCUCUUCGGGUGAACAAAAGGCAUACACAACCAAAUAGUAGGAAUCAAAGUACUCCAUUGGUUUGGGGGUGUAACAAAAUAAGAGGAAUUAUAACCUUGCAAUGAACACUUGAAAAUGCCAACAUUAAAAUUUUGAAUCAUUUUCUGUUCAUACCAUGUCAAGACACAAUGGGUCAAAAUCUAGGAUCAAAUUCUCACCAAUAUUCCCUGUACUUGAUAUGCAGUUGAGUCCAAUUCUACCUUACUCACUUUCUUUGUUUUUAUUUAUUAAAUCAAGUAUCGCUUUUUUGAGUGUUAAAAUUAACACGAAUUUAAUAGUACUACCAAUAACUAAUCUCUUAUUAUUAAUUAAAUAAGAUCUCAUAGAACUAAUAAUAUUAUUAUACAACUUGAUAUAACAUCUUUAUAACAACAUUAACAAAAAAAAAUUAGGUACAAGAAAUUAAAAUAUAUGAAAAAUUAUUUUUUUUUGAAAAGAUUGUAUAGUAUUACGUUAGAUAACAAAAGAUAUGCAAAUGACACUUUAGGUCCCUGUAGUUUUAAUAUUCCGGAAUUAUAUUUUUAGUCCCUGUAGCUUUAAAUUUUAGGAAUUACACUUUUGGUCACUAUGAAAGUGGGAAAUAAGCAAAAGACACUUUUGGUUCCUAUAGUUUUAGUUUUCCAGAAUUAUAUUCUUGGUCCCUAAAGUUUUUAGUUUGCGGGAAUUACAUUUCUGCUCCUUGUAGUUUAUUUUUACAAAAUUACAUUUUUAGUCCCUGUAGUUUUUAAUUUGCAAAAGUUAAAUUUCUGGUCCCUGAAGUUUUAAAUUUCUGGAAUUACAAUUUUGGUCACUAUGAAAGAGGGAAAUAAGCAAGAAACUUUUGGUCCCUAUAGUUCUAGUUUUCCAGAAUUAUCUUUUUGGUCCCUGAAGCUUUUAGUUUGCAGGAAUUACAAUUCUUGUCCUUGUAGUUUUAAUUUUCCAAAAUUACAUUUUUAGUUGCUACAGUUUUUGGAAUAUGAUUGCAUAGUUAUAAUAAAAAUAAGUAUUUCAUAUUGUAUAAUUGUAGUUUCCAAGGAUGCUUUUAGUAAUGUGGAUAUGAUUACAUUAUCUAAUUUCUAAAUAGUAGUUAUAUAUUUGGUUGUAGCUAGUCAUUAUGUCAACAAGUAGUGAUAGAGACUGGAUGUACAAAAGGUUAGAUCAUGGGUAUCUUAGCACAACAUAUCAUGCAUCCGUCAAAGGAUUUCUGGAUGUUGCUUUUUCUAAUGAAGCAACCGUUGAUGGGGAUUAUAUUAGAUGUCCUUGUUUUAAAUGCAAGAAC
rnacentral:lncRNA from 1 species